GAUGAAGAACGUAGCGAAAUGCGAUAAGUAGUGUGAAUUGCAGAAUUCAGUGAAUCAUCGAGUCUUUGAACGCACAUUGCGCCUUAUGGCAUUCCGUGAGGCAUGCCCAUCUCAGCGUUAGAAAAUAUUCUCAAAUUUUAGUUUUGUGCUAAAAUUUGGAUCAUGUCAAAGAAGCUAUUACUAUUAUUGUGAUCGCUCUUUGGAAAUUGAUAGGUCUUUGAGUUGCUACUCAUAGAACGUGAUGAAUCUUUCUUCGUUCUAUUGUAAUUCACUCUGGUAGUCCUAAAACUUGUAUGCCUGUGGCAUAUCUUGUAAUUUGACCUGAGAUUGGGUAGGGAUACCCGCUGAACUUAAGCAUAUCAAUAAGCGGAGGA
rnacentral:misc_RNA from 1 species